rnacentral:rRNA from 2 species
UACGGAGGGGGCCAGCGUUGUUCGGAAUCAUUGGGCGUAAAGGGCGCGUAGGUGGCCGCGCAAGUCGGAGGUGAAAUCCCUCGGCCCAACCGAGGAACUGCCUCUGAAACUGCGCGGCUCGAGUCCCGGAGAGGGCAGUGGAAUUCCCAGUGUAGCGGUGAAAUGCGUAGAUAUUGGGAGGAACACCGGUGGCGAAGGCGGCUGCCUGGACGGGUACUGACGCUGAUGCGCGAAAGCGUGGGGAGCAAACAGG